ACGGAGACUGCAAGCGUUAUUCGGAUUCACUGGGCGUAAAGGGUGCGCAGGCGGUUAUGUGUGUCAGGUGUGAAAUCUCGGAGCUCAACUCCGAAACUGCGCCUGAAACUACAUGACUAGAGUAUCGGAGAGGUGAGCGGAAUUCAUGGUGUAGCAGUGAAAUGCGUAGAUAUCAUGAGGAACACCAGAGGCGAAGGCGGCUCACUGGACGAUUACUGACGCUCAGGCACGAAAGCAUGGGUAGCGAAAGGG
rnacentral:rRNA from 1 species